rnacentral:rRNA from 1 species
GAUGAACGCUGGCGGCGUGCCUAAUACAUGCAAGUCGAGCGAACAGACGAGGAGCUUGCUCCUCUGACGUUAGCGGCGGACGGGUGAGUAACACGUGGAUAACCUACCUAUAAGACUGGGAUAACUUCGGGAAACCGGAGCUAAUACCGGAUAAUAUAUUGAACCGCAUGGUUCAAUAGUGAAAGACGGUUUUGCUGUCACUUAUAGAUGGAUCCGCGCCGCAUUAGCUAGUUGGUAAGGUAACGGCUUACCAAGGCGACGAUGCGUAGCCGACCUGAGAGGGUGAUCGGCCACACUGGAACUGAGACACGGUCCAGACUCCUUCGGGAGGCAGCAGUAGGGAAUCUUCCGCAAUGGGCGAAAGCCUGACGGAGCAACGCCGCGUGAGUGAUGAAGGUCUUCGGAUCGUAAAACUCUGUUAUUAGGGAAGAACAAAUGUGUAAGUAACUAUGCACGUCUUGACGGUACCUAAUCAGAAAGCCACGGCUAACUACGUG